rnacentral:rRNA from 1 species
GAUGAACGCUGGCGGCGUGCCUAAUACAUGCAAGUCGAGCGAACGGACGAGAAGCUUGCUUCUCUGAUGUUAGCGGCGGACGGGUGAGUAACACGUGGAUAUCCUACCUAUAAGACUGGGAUAACUUCGGGAAACCGGAGCUAAUACCGGAUAAUAUUUUGAACCGCAUGGUUCAAAAGUGAAAAACGGUCUUGCUGUCACUUAUAGAUGGAUCCGCGCUGCAUUAGCUAGUUGGUAAGGUAACGGCUUACCAAGGCAACGAUGCAUAGCCGACCUGAGAGGGUGAUCGGCCACACUGGAACUGAGACACGGUCCAGACUCCUACGGGAGGCAGCAGUAGGGAAUCUUCCGCAAUGGGCGAAAGCCUGACGGAGCAACGCCGCGUGAGUGAUGAAGGUCUUCGGAUCGUAAAACUCUGUUAUUAGGGAAGAACAUAUGUGUAAGUAACUGUGCACAUCUUGACGGUACCUAAUCAGAAAGCCACGGCUAACUACGUG